rnacentral:tRNA from 1 species
GCCUUUGUAGUGUAGUGGUCAGCACGCACGACGCGAAACCUAGAGGUCCGUGGUUCGAUUCCCGGCGAAGGCG